GUAGUACACCUCGAAUGGUCCUUCCAACAGUCUUGAAGGGGUUCCCCAGAGAUGCUUAGCACUUGUUGGCCCGUUUGCUCUCCACUCUGCGGUCCAGCUCACCCAAAACCCAUCGACGAUUGGGUUCCAGGUCCGGUGACUAUGGAGGCCAGGUCAUCUGGCGCAGCACCCCAUCACUCUCCUUCUUGGUCAAAUAGCCCUUACUUUCAAAGCCUGCAGGUG